rnacentral:misc_RNA from 1 species
AAAGGAUCCUAUCCGGCUAACCUGAUGAGGAGGGUAUCAAGAAUCUUACGCGUUGCCACCGACUUUUGCUGCAUCAAGGAUAGAGGCAACUAGCUUGAGAUGAGUUUCGCUGAAAGAUUUGCACAUUCAGGAGGUCCUUAUCUCACUGCCGCACAGCCAAGUCAAAACCCCAAGAGCUCAAUCGAUCUGGCGGGGCAGAGCCCUUCAAGUACAUGCAAAAACCACAAUAAAAUAAAAAUUAGGUACAGUGAGG